AUGCAUCUAAUUUCACAACAAUAUAGAAAACAGAGGUUACAAGACGACAAAGCUCGAGUCGAUGAAUUUCAUUCCGUGGUGGUGGUUAGAAACAACCUAGUUAGCAGUGGCAGGUUGUUCACUGGACAUAGAUUCACCCACAGUCGCUGCUCGUCCUCCCGCUAUCUCUGUUUCUCAAUUCUCUCACGCACACCGUUUCUCUGCUUCUCAAUUCUCUCACGCACACCGUUUCUCUGCUUCUCCUCUGAGCAUCUCCUUGCUUGUUGUAUUUGUUGUUGA